rnacentral:rRNA from 1 species
GACGAACGCUGGCGGCGUGCUUAACACAUGCAAGUCGAACGGAAAGGCCCUGCUUUUGUGGGGUGCUCGAGUGGCGAACGGGUGAGUAACACGUGAGUAACCUGCCCUUGACUUUGGGAUAACUUCAGGAAACUGGGGCUAAUACCGGAUAGGAGCUCCUGCUGCAUGGUGGGGGUUGGAAAGUUUCGGCGGUUGGGGAUGGACUCGCGGCUUAUCAGCAUGUUGGUGGGGUAGUGGCUUACCAAGGCUUUGACGGGUAGCCGGCCUGAGAGGGUGACCGGCCACAUUGGGACUGAGAUACGACGCAGACUCCUACGGGAGGCAGCAGUGGGGAAGAUUGCACAAUGGGCGGAAGCCGGAUGCAGCAGCGCCGCGGGCGGGAUGACGGCGUUCGGGGUGUAGUCCGCUUUCGCCUGUGACGAAGCGUGAGUGACGGUAAUGGGUGAAGAAGCACCGGCUAACUACGUG